GCGUGGCCUGCGGGUGUUGCUGUGAAAAUGUCGAUGGGCAGGGGUUUUCGUAAGGGCAGUGGGGGACCACUCUGUUCUGAAUAACAAGCCGAGAGGUUGGUGUGAGGUUACAGCACAAGCGGUGACAGAGCAGCAAGAUGACGAGACCGCAGAUGGCGUAUUUCUGCAGGUUUGUACAGAAUGCAAGAAAGUUACACCAAAACUGACUCAAUGAAAUGAGUCAGUUUUCAUACUGGGAGGAUGCAGUGCUACAAAGUAAACCGAGACCAAGCACCGGAAAAGGGGCACCCCUGACCCACUUACGUUGGGAGCAAAAAAGCAAAUCGUCCAAUCAAGGGAUAAUCUAUGGUUGGUUGCACUGAAGAGGAAGUCCAUGUGGUUGGUCGAAUCAUCGAAGUGUCAGACAUGCAUGCCUCACAUGUGAUGUACGGUACUUUCCUAUAGAAGUAAUAUCAACAAAGAGUUUGUCUGAGCAUAAUAUGCUGAAAGCGACGUACCUGUGACAGUAACAUGUAAGCCAGGUACAGAUUGAGUCAGAUCCACAUCAGGCGGCAUUAAAAACAAUAUCUGAGUGCUUACGCAACCGAUAAACACGCUGGUGAUGGUGUGCCUUUAAAACCAGUGGGUUGUCAGGUGAUCAAGGCGGCUCAGACACAGGAGCCUGAGUGCGUCUGUAGCCGGGAGCAGAGCGCCAGAGAGGAGAGCAGCCGAGAGGGAGAGACCUGUUUAGAAAGGAACAUGGGGGGGAGAUGAGGACUCAGCUACAUCAGAGUGGGGGGCCAGAGGCUCGUGGUGGUAGGGUCCCUUUAACUGCAGUCUGCUUGUGCUCACUUGCUUGUGUGACAGCUAGCAAGUGUGUUUCUGGCUCAGCUUGAUCAAGAAGCUGCGUUUGUGUAAGCCACAACAGUGGCAUAAAAAAAAGCACAGAGAAUUAAGUGCUGCGUCACACUCAGGAAGAGAAAUAGUGUGAUCAUGCGCGCGUGUGCACAGCUGCGUGUGUGUUGGUGUGUACAUACGCAUUUGAGUAGACUCUGUUGUGUUUGUCUGGCAGUGGGUAGGGUGUGUGUGUGCGUGUGUGUGUGUGUGAGUUGGACGUAGCAGUCUAAUAGCAGUUCUGCUGUUGCAACAAGAUGGAAAUAAAAGGAGUGUGUGUGCUUUUCAGUGGUGAGCAGAAAGGAAGCGAAGGGGAGAUACAGAGAGCGAGGGAGAGCAACUCCGAGUCAGUGCAAGAGAGUGAUUUCGGAUUAGUUGCUACGUCACUUUUUCAUGUCGAGAGAAACAGAAGCUGAGAUAACAGAAGCCCAGAGUCAUCACCCGGAGGAGGCACGUUGCUUUUCGGACACCUUCAGCUUUCUGCCCUCUUCUUCUUCCUUGGUAGUUUUGAUGUGCUCUACAUUGAGAGUGUGUGCGCGUGCGUGUGUGUGUGUUGCGUAGUUUUUGUGAGCUGGUGCCUGAGUUUCAACAUGGAUGCUGAGGAUUUGACACAGUUAGUUACUAGAGCUUGUUUUGAUUGGUUGGUUAGGUGGCGCUGGUUGCGACAAACAGGUUAGCAGCACGAAUAUUCAGUCUGGGAUGUUUUUCAAAGAAUUCAUCGAGGUACAGCGCUGUUUUUCCCCUCUCUCUCCUCUAGGAAUAUGGGUGAUUAUUUUUUUGCGAAUAGGUUAAAAUAAUCAAUGACGGUGCAGUCUGACCCUCCUACUACGCAGUCAGUUGACACAUACAGCAAUUCAAGUGAAGUUACAUAAUAAAUGUAUCUGUUAAAGUCGCAUCAUGUGCGUCUGUAUUAAAAUAGAACCAGCUCUGGACUCUUCUGGUUAACUCUGCUGAAGUUGAUGGAAAGAAUCAGCAUCCAGACUUGGAGGCAGAGGCUGCUGUAUGUUGCUGUCACAUACCACUCCGUAUCUGGUGAUACUUUCAUCAUGUGAGUUGUUUUCACCCGCCAGAGCCAUUGGGAUCUGGCAAAACCCUUCCCGAGACACAUUUGUUUCUGCGUAGUUAGGAGAGACAGAGAUGGUGACGCAGUCGCUUCUGGGCUGGACUUUGCUGCAACCGGCUAGUACCUCUCCUUUUUCCUCUCAGUCUGUUUAUCUGUGUGCCUAUCUAUCUGUCUAUCCGUCUCCUGGAGAAAGGAGGGGGUAAGUAGGUUUAAAUGUCAUGGCUCUGGAUCAGAAACAGAUAGAGAAGAAGAAGAGAGAGGGAGGGAGAGAAGGAAAGAGAAAAACAUAAGGUGGAGAGGAAGCACAGAGGGGUGCUGAGAUUAACCGAAACAGAGAAAAGUUGUAAACCUUGUUCUUUUUUGUGACUUAGCUUUGGCUUCUCUCCAGUGUACAUGCACUGGACUGGACUUCCUAAAGCUGCUGCAUCACAAGCCUUCAUGCCAAGGCUGCAUUCUCAUUGGAUGGGAGGAGCUUCCCAGGCCUCACAAGCAGCACAGCAGCAUUUCAUUGGCUUAAAAGAACAGGCAGCUGACAUUCAACCUCUGAUUGGCUGGGACGCAUUGUUUUCUCACAGUAAGGUUUAGCACUCACUAGAACACUUUUCUGUGAAUACAUGACUUAGUUAUUGCACAGUGGUUCAUUGUUGACAUUUAUUGAUUUUAAAUGCAGAAAACAAAAGAAAUUUCAAUGAUAAAUGCAAUGAGAGUUUGUCCUAUGCUUAAAUUACAGUAUUCAAAGACAUUUUAAGAUGCUCUUCAUUCCAUAUCUAAGAGGAGGAGGAAUAACAAAACAAUUUCAUAUCAAGUGAGUCACUCUUCCAGGAACCUUCCCAUGAAUUCUCAGUGACGUAUGAGUUCCUUUCUAGGAAACUAAAGAGCUCGUUGAAUUCAUACUUUUCUGGACUGUCGGUAAAGGAAAUCUGCUGGUUAUAGAACAGCGUUUCCUGUUCAUGGUAGAAAUUUCAGAAAAAGCUCCAACAUGAGAGAGUUUUAAAAAAAAAAUGUUUUUCCUGGUUUGAUCCCCAGUAUGCAGAAUAUGCAGCGUUUCCGAGACGUUCAAAGAGCAUCUGCUGCUUAUGUUCUGCAUUGCAGUCGCUGCCUGUGCUAAUGGCAUAGCGUAUUUUAUUCCAUUACGCAGCUUUGGUUUAAAUUUUAGUCAACGAAUCUUAACUGUGGUGCUUACAAUGUGAAGUCCUGAGGAUUUAGUUUUAUUAUUAAAAUAUGACCUGACAUUUCCAGAUUUUCACAAGCUCUAAAAGAAUAUUAGAGAAAGAAGAGCUUGAUCACAUUUUCAUAGAAAAAAAAAUCCUCUUUCAGUAUCUGAGAAACUGCUGUACAUUGAAGACAGAGACUAAAUACUUAAACAGUUAUUAAAGUUUUAAUGAUUCACCUUACAAUGUGCUAUGUAGCAACUCUUGGAGAUUGUUGAUGUUAUUCGGAUGCUUUAUUUAGAUUGCUCUUUAAUGUAAGAAGAUAUAAGAAUGUGCUUAAAAUCACUUGUUUAAUCAUUUCAUUUGUAGACCUUCCUCCUGUGAAAAAUCAUUAAUUAUUUAUAUGCGGAGUAAAGCUACCGCUCACUACUGCAUGAAAGAGCAAUUACUGCAAAAAAUAUUAUUAUGAUUUUAAAACAAAGACUGGGUCAUUAUACAAUUGGCAUUUUUAACCAGCUUUAGCAUCUUAUAUUAGGGAUUAGUGCGGUUUCAUGGAAACAGUAUUCUUUGGUGUAUUCUUUCAGUAGGAUAAUGUUCUUUGCUACAAGGCUCGGAACGGUGUACUAGUACCAAGCAAGAUCUUGGUUUUGACUUGGUCUCCAGAUGCCACAGCUCUCUAAUCCAAUUGAUCUGUAUGAUGGGCUGGAGCAAUAAGUCUAAUUUGCUGAGGAGAGGAUCACAUUUUGUGAAGUCCAUCUUUUGUUGGAUCAGGCCUGUUUUGGCUAAAAAAAAUGGGCCCAGCGCACUGUUAGGCCAGGGGUUAUAAUGUUAUGCCUGAUUGAUGUAUAAAGAACUAUGUAGAAUUACUAAUGGUCUAUAAAGUACCAUUGUACACAAUCAGUUUAUAUUAAACAAAACAAGUUUUGAUAAGUUAAUUGCUUAUCUAUGCGUUUCACUGCAGUGAAUUCUAACACAGCAGUAAAUCUCCAAGAGCAAACUUAAAAAUUUACUGCUGUGUUAAAGUUUCUCCAUAAAUAUGGACCUGUAUUUAUCCCCACUGAUUUCCCUUGUGUGCUCUGCAGUCUCAUUGCAAAUGUGUCGUUUAUCACUCUCCCAAGGCCUCCUGUCCCUUUAAAUCUUUUAUAAGCGUUACACAACAGGUCGAGUAGCACACAAGCAACAAACAACCCGAAAAAGAAAACUGACAGGGCAGGGUGGAGCGAGCCAGGCAAAGGAAUCAGACACCUACCGCCAGGGAGGCCCUCUGAUCAGAGCUGUCACUGUGGCUACCAUGCAAACAGACUCAAAUACAACAUCUUAAUACUCCCUCACGGAAACAAACAGCUCGGCCUUGUCCACCUGAAGCCUGAUAAAUGGCUCAUAAAUGCUGUGGGAAAGAACCUGUUGUGAAUGUUCUAGGCUGGGACAGGAUUCACUUGAUUUACCUGCUUGUAAAAAUUACGUUUUUUCAAUAGCUUGUUCACCUGUAUAUUAACAGCAAAAACUUCAGGGGUAAAGAACAAGGAAAUUAGAGCUGGUUGGUUAGUUUUCUACUUAGUUGAGGUACUUGGCAACAAGUCAGUGAACUGGCCACUACCUGUCCUUGCCCCACCCUCUCUGUGCAUUGUAGCUUUGCUUCUGCGUCAUGGCUCUCAUUGCCAGCAAUUGACUGCUACUUCCCUUCUCGUUUCCUCUUGUAGCGGCUGGAGACGAACAAACUAUCCUCUAUUCUUCCAAGCGACAGAGAGAACGGGAUUAAUCUCGUUUGUCUGCAGGUGAGCCUGUAAGCCAGAGGUAUACAACACAGAGGAAACAUUUAGAGUGCAUAUGCUGUUGUUGUUUGGUCCUUCACACAUCCAUGUAGCUUGGAUUAUAUAUCAGAUUACUUGUGUGGGUGUGUUAGAGGGAAAAGAGUGACUGAGAAAUGUACGGGUGCUUUUUCAAAGUGUUUUUCCACUUAAUCAUUUGCUUUUGAUGUCUUUAUCUACUUCAUUUGUUUCCCUUAAUUCAGAUUUUUAACAGACUAUGAACCAGAUUCCAUAAACCUGUAUCUUAAACCACCCUGGAGCUCAUGCUGUGGGUCAGUGGAGGUCCUUGCAUGAUUGAUACUACUGUAUGUGCAAACCCCUGAAUGAAUCUGUGUUUUGCUGAUUAACGUGUAAUCAACGAAAAGGUAACUACCAUCUAUGCUUGAUUACAUUAUUAACAGUGGCUUUUGUUCUUGUCUUGUUGCUAAAGGUGUAUUUAUGAUAAAAAAAAGACAUCAACAUGUUCAUUUUAGAUUUUUUACAAAUAGAAUGAAGGGGUUUCUCUUUCAAACAGAUUUAAACUUUUUCUGUUUACUGUACAAAAAGUCAGUUCAGGUUUUACUUAGCUUUUCAACUAGGUGAUCAAAUGCUGUCCAAAGUACAUAAAAACUGUCAAAUAGUCCUUUAAAUUUAAGAAUAUAAAUUUCAGAGUCUAUAAAAGAAGGCUAAGGUUUUUUCAUUUCUCGUACAGUGUUUACGCCACGUCUUAUUUGCAUAACUAUGUUGACUGGAUAUGCAAAUAAACAGCAGAAAGCAUGUCUGCGGGGCACAUGACUGAAAACUUUUUUCCUCUUCAAGCUUCCGCACUGCCCCCUGACACAAUAAUGCCCUGAGGAACGAGCCUUUUUGAAAUCAAAAACAGCUGCUGACUCAAAUCGUGAGCUUCACCAGUCACCCAACCUUUAAGGUUGAUACUAUGUACAUCACAGGGGAAUGCAGUGCCCCCCUAGACGAAUUACACCUGAAUCAUCACUGCUGGUGAUACCUUACAGACUCUGAAAGCCUAACUUUGGACCCUCAUCUUGUUAUUUAAUGUGCCUUUAAUUUAUGUGGUAAAACACAAAUGUCUAGAACUUCCCUGUUUUAGGCACUAAAGUCUCCAAAUGAAGCAGCUUUUAACUUUGACUUUACUUCUAAUGCUCCCAACGGUGCAGUAUUAUAAAUAUUACUGAUGUCAGCAGUCCCAGCUGAAACAGAGAACCUGUGUAUAACUCUGUUGUGAGUAAAUGCCAUGCAUCUCUGAGUCAUAGUAUUGUGGGUGUUUGGUUUAUGCAUAAUUCACAUCUGCAGACAAAGAGUGAAAUAAAUGACUUAGUUUUUAUCCACAAAAAUAUGCAUUUGUAUAUAACUC